CACAUCCCUCCCCAGGUCCUCAGGCCUUCUGAGUACAGCUCGUGGUUCUGUUCCUUCCACUGGCGAAAUUUUGCUCCUGUGAGUUCAGGAUCACCCAGGACUUCCUCCAGGACCUGCAGUUCCUGUAGCUUUGCCUGAGGGCUCUGUCACUGCUAUCUGUGGAAUCAGGACGCAGGAUGAGUACAGGUAACUAUGCUCAGGACAGCCCCAGAGCCCAGUUCCCUGCUCCCAGGGGCAGCACCUAAUGAAGAGCCAAAGGAGGUCCUAGGACUCUGCAGGGGUGAAGCCGAGGGCGAUGUGUCAUUCCAAGCUUGAGCUGGACCAGGCUGUGUCAUGGCAGGAGGAGGAGGAGGAUUAGCUUGAGCCCCACCCCACAACCUGCCAUUCAGUCCCUACCUCCUGCUUGGAAGAGAGACUCUACUCACAGAAGCUGAGCGGGACCCUGCCUCUUCAUCAGGGUCUUCUGCUUCGGUCUCACUGUAGCAGUCUAGGGUGGGGAUUGGAGGAGCACAGAUUGGGUUUGCAGAGCCAUGGAGUGGGCCAGGGGAUUUGAUUUGUGGCAUGGGCCUGGGGAAAGGCAGAGACUUCCUGGUGCCUGGGCUGCUCCUCCCACUCUGUGGUACACUCACCUUCCUCUCUGGCGGAGGGGGCCCGACCUAGAGUCUGAUACUUGGAAAUGCAGGUGACAAGAUGCCGCACCCACCUGUAGGGACAUGUGUGGAUCAUGGGGUUGCCACUCACCGUAGGUCCUAGCUCUUCACGAUUAACCGACAUCUUCUAAUUUUUCCCCCUGAACUUUUUGUCUGAUCCUGGAGCCUGAGUGUAGGAAGUACCCUACACUAAGCUAAAUCUUCCACUUUCUUUCCUGUUUUCUUGAGACAGUGUCUUACUAGAUUGCUCUGGUUGGCCUGAAACACACCAUGUAGCCCAAGCCGGCCUCAUACUUGUAAUCCUCCUGCCUCGGCCUUGUAAAUGCUGGAAUUAGAGGGGUGACCCACCAUGUCCCAGAUCCACAGAACUUACACUCAGGGAGCAAGUGAGGUAGGAAUACUUCUUUGCCCGUUUUGCAGAUGACGAAACUGAGGCUUUCUGAGGGUUGGGGUUUGAGUCCCGAGUACCCUGAGCUCAGCUCUCAAGCGCUUGGUAGCUAGGGACUGCAUAGAGUAGGGACGAGGAAGAGGCACUCACAUGCUCAGAUCAGACAGGGUCUCCGCGGCAAAGAUGAAGGGCUUGUACACAUCGUGGGUCAGCUGGAACACACUGCCAGGAAACAGAAAGAAGUCACAGCCCGCUCUGGGCAUUCCCGGCCAGAAUCCAGAAAGAGGCUAGAUCGGGAAUCCCAGCCCCCUGCCACUCUCCCGAGUCCCCGCCACCCUACCCUUCCUCUCCCCUUUUCUCCCAACCCCAUCUUAGUCUGAGACUUAACUAUUUUUUCUUCUGGUCAUGCCCGCACUCCAGGCUGUAAUUGGAGAUGUUGAUAAGUCCUUCCGCCUUUUCAUCCUGGGGCAACCACAGCAUGAGGGUCAGCAGGAAGCCAUGGGCCCUCGAGGCUCAGCCAGCUUCCUAGUUACCCCUGACUCUCAGGGCUGAAGGUGUGGUCAAGGGUCACCUCUGAGCAGGGAAAGGGAGCAAAGGCAGCCAGAAAAACAGCCAAAGGGGAGGAGCCCUGCUCCGGUACACCCUUUAGCAGCUCUGUCUCCCAAAGCCUUUCCCUUCCUCAUUUCCCCCCCUUUUCCCUUUCAUGUGACAAACAUCCAAACUCAGCUUUCCAAAGAAGUCUAAGGUCCCUGGAAUAGAAUGUGGGGGACGGGGCUCCCACACAUCCCUUGUGAUUUCCUGUAUCCUAGCACGUGGCCCAUUGUCCUUAAGGAUGUAUUCAGCCUUUUCCCCCCAAGUGCCUCUAAGAUGUAGAGGCACUAAGAUGUAGAUGUAGAGCCUUCAGUGCUCUACCUCAGACCUAGAUGCAGUAGGCACCCAAAUGUCUAUUGAGUGGCCUAUCACUGGGAAGGAUAAAAAUAACGGGAGGGAAAGAAGAGGUAGGGAGAAUAAAAGUGACUUUCUCUACACUUAAAAAAAUGGUUUAGGGCUGGAGAGGUGACUCAGCAGUUAAGAGCACUGACUGCUCUUCCAGAGGUCCUGAGUUUAAUUCCCAGCAACCACAUGGUGGCUCACAACCGUCUGUAAAGAGAUCCGAUGCCCUCUUCUGGUGUGUCUGAAGACAGCUACAGUGUACCUAUAUAUAAUAAAUGAAUAAGUCUUUAAAAAAAA